CUCUGAUUGUAGGUCUGGAAAGGAUUUUAGACCUUUAGAUGUGUAGAGGUGGUAGAUGUGUAAUGCCCUUCUCAUUCCAUGUCUUGUGCGGGAAUGUACCGUUGAAGUGGUGUAAGGUCUUGAUGGGGGCAGCCAGGGCCCAUGGGUGGGCCGUGCAUAGUUUGCUCCUCUGGGCGUCCCAUGUGGACAUCAGAAGUCUGGUAGUGGGUAGCAUGUCCAGAGUUUGGG